rnacentral:rRNA from 1 species
UACAGAGGGUGCAAGCGUUAAUCGGAGUUACUGGGCGUAAAGGGCGCGUAGGCGGAAGAUUAAGUGAGAUGUGAAAUCCCCGGGCUUAACCUGGGAACUGCAUCUUAAACUGAUAUUCUAGAGUAUUGUAGAGGGUAGUGGAAUUUCCGGUGUAGCGGUGAAAUGCGUAGAGAUCGGAAGGAACACCAGUGGCGAAGGCGGCUACCUGGACAAAUACUGACGCUGAGGCGCGAAAGCGUGGGGAGCAAACAGG